rnacentral:misc_RNA from 1 species
CUUCUCUAUCUGGCUGGGAGGGCGUCUCCGCGACUGGUGGCAAGCCUUCCAGCAUGUGACGGACCAUCGCAUCAGCCUGCACAGCGUCGAAUAGAUUGGUGCCAGAGGGCGUGGCGUCUACAUUCGGAUGAUAGUUUGGGCGCGAAUAGCUGAUGCCAUUGUCCGGGUUGAAGGUCUUCGGAAGCUUCCAGUUGAGGAAGCGAUCCACCAUGUGUUUGAUUUGCUCGUUUGUCAUCGCGUUGUGUCCUUUCACGCUGCCGUCCUAUGGUG